rnacentral:tRNA from 1 species
GGCCCCGUGGUCAAGCGGUUAAGACAUCGCCCUUUCACGGCGGAGACAUGGGNNCCCUUUCACGGCGGAGACAUGGGUUCGAUUCCCGUCGGGGUCA